CCGACCACGAGCCGCACCAGCCCUAACCCCUCCUCGUCGAAUCCACCCAAAAUACUCCCUUCGACCUUCGAUUUGGUGGCGGAGCGGAACCCCGAUGCUCCUUCACGCCCUCUCGCGGCUGCGGUGCCGCCGGCUUUCGCGGAGAAGAGCAGCUUUAAACAGGUGAAUUUUUUAACACUCAAUUCUUCAUGCUCUCAGUGCAUAAUGGAUAUAAAGCCAUGGUUUCAUAUGGAAGGUAGAAUGUUGCUCAGCUAUAAAUAUUUCCUUGCAGAUUUUUUUUUAUUUAAUACACUAGCAUCGGUAGCAUUUCUAAGGCUGACAAACUAUCACGAUAUAUAAGUUAAAGCUCAAUUAACACAGGUAUAAGUUUGAGCUCUUUUUAUAACUUACAAAUAUUUUUAUACGCCCUCUGAGUUAUUAUUGCUCCUACAUGAACUUAACAACUGUUAAGACAUGUUCUUAGGGGCCAUAUGGUACUGGACGAGUUAAUCUGUCGUGAUGAAUCCUAAAUUAAUAUUUCUUUCCUAAUUUUUAACUUGGUAUAGGAUGGAUAUUUGAUAUACUACAGUUUUACAACAUAUUCUUCAUUAGCUGAUACGUCCUGGUAGCUAAGAAAAGUUAGUGAUGUAGUGCAUUAUGCAUAUCAUGAACAUGUGGUUAUUUUUAGUGAACUUACUCGCACAAAAAUGGAAGUCUGAAACAUGCUCUUUUUUAUUUUUUUAAUUUGAGAUUACCAUGAACUGUUCAUAUUUCUUAAGAAAUACUAUGUUAUAUCAUAUUUGCUUGUACUGCCAUAGUAUCUGAGAAGCGUAUUGUAUUCUUGUCCUUGUGAGGUGAAACAUUGUCUAUUUAACAUGGGAUAUGAACUACAUAGCAGUAUUAUUGUGGUGGAUGCCUGCUUGGGCUCAGUUGUAAGUAACAUUGUCUUGCACUGUGUUGGAAAAAGGAUGAAUUGCUUCCAUCAUGCAAUUCUCUGAACAAACCGAGAAGGUGAACAAGGUGUGAGAUGACCAUUCUUGAAGAUAAGCUGUAAUCAAUAAUCUGGACGAGGUAAAUGAGUUGUUAGCGAAGAAAUACAAUCUCAGAACGAACGACAACGAACGGGUGGCUCUGGGCAUGGUGCCGCUCCGACAAUAACAUCCGUCACUUUCAUUUGGCUUCAUCGUGCCAAUCUUUCUUUUUGUAUCGGUAGGUUUAUGAGAUUGUAUUAACCGGACUUUUGACGUGGUUAACGAUAUUGCAGCUCGCAACUUAUGUGUUUGUCAGACAAACCGAGGAUGCACACAUCGUUAGAUUAAUUUUACUGAAA